AGGGGCGUUACCACGGCGGCGGUCUGAGGGGCGUUACCGCGGCGUUACUGUUGCUGAAACAGACGUUAGCGAGGCACCGGUAGCGUCUGUGUGUUAUUACAGACUCUCUCUCUCUCUGAGCUCUCGAGGUUAUUACAGACUCUCUCUCUCUGAGCUCUCGAGGUUAUUACAGACUCUCUCUCUCUGAGCUCUCGAGGUUAUUACAGACUCUCUCUCUCUGAGCUCUCGAGGUUAUUACAGACUCUCUCUCUCUGAGCUCUCGAGGUUAUUACAGACUCUCUCUCUCUGAGCUCUCGAGGUUAUUACAGACUCUCUCUCUCUGAGCUCUCGAGGUUAUUACAGACUCUCUCUCUGAGCUCUCGAGGUUAUUACAGACUCUCUCUCUCUGAGCUCUCGAGGUUAUUACAGACUCUCUCUCUGAGCUCUCGAGGUUAUUACAGACUCUCUCUCUCUCUGAGCUCUCGAGGUUAUUACAGACUCUCUCUCUCUGAGCUCUCGAGGUUAUUACAGACUCUCUCUCUCUGAGCUCUCGAGGUUAUUACAGACUCUCUCUCUCUGAGCUCUCGAGGUUAUUACAGACUCUCUCUCUCUGAGCUCUCGAGGUUAUUACAGACUCUCUCUCUCUGAGCUCUCGAGGUUAUUACAGACUCUCUCUCUCUGAGCUCUCGAGGUUAUUACAGACUCUCUCUCUCUGAGCUCUCGAGGUUAUUACAGACUCUCUCUCUCUGAGCUCUCGAGGUUAUUACAGACUCUCUCUCUCUGAGCUCUCGAGGUUAUUACAGACUCUCUCUCUCUGAGCUCUCGAGGUUAUUACAGACUCUCUCUCUCUGAGCUCUCGAGGUUAUUACAGACUCUCUCUCUCUGAGCUCUCGAGGUUAUUACAGACUCUCUCUCUCUGAGCUCUCGAGGUUAUUACAGACUCUCUCUCUGAGCUCUCGAGGUUAUUACAGACUCUCUCUCUCUGAGCUCUCGAGGUUAUUACAGACUCUCUCUCUCUGAGCUCUCGAGGUUAUUACAGACUCUCUCUCUCUCUGAGCUCUCGAGGUUAUUACAGACUCUCUCUCUCUCUGAGCUCUCGAGGUUAUUACAGACUCUCUCUCUCUCUGAGCUCUCGAGGUUAUUACAGACUCUCUCUCUCUGAGCUCUCGAGGUUAUUACAGACUCUCUCUCUCUGAGCUCUCGAGGUUAUUACAGACUCUCUCUCUGAGCUCUCGAGGUUAUUACAGACUCUCUCUCUGAGCUCUCGAGGUUAUUACAGACUCUCUCUGAGCUCUCGAGGUUAUUACAGACUCUCUCUGAGCUCUCGAGGUUAUUACAGACUCUCUCUCUGAGCUCUCGAGGUUAUUACAGACUCUCUCUCUCUCUGAGCUCUCGAGGUUAUUACAGACUCUCUCUCUCUCUGAGCUCUCGAGGUUAUUACAGACUCUCUCUCUCUGAGCUCUCGAGGUUAUUACAGACUCUCUCUCUCUGAGCUCUCGAGGUUAUUACAGACUCUCUCUCUGAGCUCUCGAGGUUAUUACAGACUCUCUCUGAGCUCUCGAGGUUAUUACAGACUCUCUCUGAGCUCUCGAGGUUAUUACAGACUCUCUCUCUCUGAGCUCUCGAGGUUAUUACAGACUCUCUCUCUCUGAGCUCUCGAGGUUAUUACAGACUCUCUCUCUCUCUGAGCUCUCGAGGCGCCUUGAACGCACCAUCACUGCGCCGGAUGGAGGGGAGAUAUUCAGCGUACCUUGGAAGACACACAACUCCACAGUUUGGUGAUUAUUCAGAUUUUUU